CCUCCUUUCUAAGGAUGAGUGAAAGUAAAAUUUCACUCUAAAUAAUAUACAUCGGUAAUGUUGACCGUCCUCAUUUCUCUUCUUAAAGUAAUGUUUCCUUCUUGUAGGGCCGGUAGCUCAGUUGGUUAGAGCACACCCUUGAUAAGGGUGGGGUCGAAAGUUCGAGUCUUUCUCGGCCCACCAAAAACCUAAAUGGGGGAUUAGCUCAUCUGGGAGAGCGCCUGAUUUGCAUUCAGGAGGUAGCAGGUUCGAUCCCUGUAUCCUCCACCAGGAAACAUUUAGUUAUUAAAACUGUAAAUAAAAAUAAUUUAUAUCAAUAUCUAUAUCCGAACAUUAAAAGUUAUUAUUUAAUGUUCAAAAUAAAAAUUUGAUCACAACAUAGAUNAAUUUUCUGUAAAAAGAAUUUUUUUCUGUGCAUAAAUCAAGCGUUUAAGGGCGUGUAGUGGAUGCCUGGGCACUGAAAGCCGAUGAAGGACGUGAUAUACUGCGAUAAGUUUCGGGGAGCUGUAUGUAAGCUUUGAUCC
rnacentral:misc_RNA from 1 species